AAAAAAAAAAAAAUUAAAAAGGUUUUUUAAAUUGUUUACUUGAAAAGUAUAUAUCUGGUCAAAAUAGUCGAAAAAAUAGUGGUAGGUAAGCAAUAAUUCGCUUAGAGCUGAAAAUUGGUACAGACGUUGGGAACAUUAUUAAAAAUAAAUUCUGAAAGUCCCCACAUAUUCAACAUCUGCAAAAAAAGUUAUUCAAGUAAACUUUUAACAACAAGUGAAACAGAUCGUGGAAUGAAGACUUUAAUAGAUUCUAGAGUUGAUAGGAAUGACAGGCUUCUUGAGUAAUGACCAGAAGUCUAUGACAAUUCAUGUGCAGUGCCAUAAAGUGCAUAUUCGGAAGAGUGCUAUAGCUUCAUUUAAAAAACAGCAACAAAUAGAUCAUGCCAGUACAUCUAAAAUUAGUAAACCUCCUACCAGAGCUCGCGUUUAGCAUGUUCACGCUUAUUUUUAUGUCUGUUGACGUAGCAAAAAAUGUUACUGCACGCAUUGAGUGUGAAUAUGAUUUAGUUGCUACUGAGGCUAUGAUUGUCAGUUUUUAUCGGAAGAGUCAAAAAGUAUAUGCAAAAAACUAGAUUUAGAUAACAGAACAAUUAAGAUACGAUUGAAAUUCAAGUAUGGUAAUAAAAUUAUUAUCACUGACAAACCGGGCAGAUUAACUUUCAUUUAUUUUUUUAACAAUCAUUGCGAUAUUCUUAACCAAGCUUGGUAUGUAAAAAAAAGCCAAAAUAAACGAUUUCGAAUCUUAAAAACGAAGAACGAUUAACGAAGAACGAUUAACAAAUAAACGAAGAACGAUUUCGAAUCUUAAAAACUGCUGUAGCAGUCAUUUGAAAGGACAUCUAAUCAUUAGUCUUUGAUAAUAUAAUCAUCAUCUUUUUUUUUGAAUUCUCAAUUCGAAACUUUAAUUAGGUCUCUUAGUAUUUCUUCAUUGACGGUUUGGUUUAAGACGCCUUAAAAAAAUCUUUUCAUCUUUUAAUUUAUGCGCAUCCUACAAUUUAUCAGUUUAAUGAAAAACUAAAAAAAUUUGAAAAACGAAAAUCUACAGCAAAACUAUGGAUACAAUGUUUUAUUACGGUGUCAAUUACAAAGAAGUUUAUUUAUUAAAUUACAAAGAGCUGAACGCAUAGGAGAUUGGUAAAGAACGCAUGGGAGAUUGGUAAGAAUUUAAAGAUUAUUUAAAGAGCAUCUUGUAGCUCUAUAUGAAGCUCCAAACAAAGACAAUUACAGAUAUAUAAGUUUUGUAUAAAAAUACACGGAACUAUAAAAGAGUUCAUUUA